GACGAACGCUGGCGGCGUGCUUAACACAUGCAAGUCGAACGAAGAGCGAUGGAAGCUUGCUUCUAUCAAUCUUAGUGGCGAACGGGUGAGUAACGCGUAAUCAACCUGCCCUUCAGAGGGGGACAACAGGUGGAAACGACUGCUAAUCCCGCAUACGAUCUAAUCUCGGCAUCGAGGAUAGAUGAAAGGUGGCCUCUACAUGUAAGCUAUCACUGAAGGAGGGGAAUGCGGCUGAUUAGCUAGUUGGAGGGGUAACGGCCCACCAAGGCGAUGAACAGUAGCCGGUCUGAGAGGAUGAACGGCCACAUUGGGACUGAGACACGGCCCAGACUCCUACGGGAGGCAGCAGUGGGGAAUCUUCCGCAAUGGACGGAAGUCUGACGGAGCAACGCCGCGGGAGUGAUGACGGCCUUCGGGUUGGAAAGCUCUGUUAAUCGGGACGAAAGGCCUUCUUGCGAAUAGUGAGAAGGAUUGACGGUACCGGAAUAGAAAGCCACGGCUAACUACGUG
rnacentral:rRNA from 1 species